AUGUCUGGGAAACUGCCCGGUGGAGGGGGAUAACUACUGAAAACGGUAGCUAAUACCGCAUAACGUCGCAAGACCAAAGAGGGGGACCUUCGGGCCUCUUGCCACCGGAUGUGCCCAGAUGGGAUUAGCUUGUUGGUGAGGUAACGGCUCACCAAGGCGACGAUCCCUAGCUGGUCUGAGAGGAUGACCAGCCACACUGGAACUGAGACACGGUCCAGACUCCUACGGGAGGCAGCAGUGGGGAAUAUUGCACAAUGGGCGCAAGCCUGAUGCAGCCAUGCCGCGUGUAUGAAGAAGGCCUUCGGGUUGUAAAGUACUUUCAGCGGGGAGGAAGGGGUUGUGGUUAAUAACCACAGUCAUUGACGUUACCCGCAGAAGAAGCACCGGCUAACUCCGUGCCAGCAGCCGCGGUAAUACGGAGGGUGCAAGCGUUAAUCGGAAUUACUGGGCGUAAAGCGCACGCAGGCGGUCUGUCAAGUCGGAUGUGAAAUCCCCGGGCUCAACCUGGGAACUGCAUUCGAAACUGGCAGGCUUGAGUCUCGUAGAGGGGGGUAGAAUUCCAGGUGUAGCGGUGAAAUGCGUAGAGAUCUGGAGGAAUACCGGUGGCGAAGGCGGCCCCCUGGACGAAGACUGACGCUCA
rnacentral:rRNA from 1 species